GAUGAACGCUGGCGGCGUGCCUAAUACAUGCAAGUCGAACGAAACUUCUUUAUCACCGAGUGCUUGCACUCACCGAUAAAGAGUUGAGUGGCGAACGGGUGAGUAACACGUGGGCAGCCUGCCCAAAAGAGGGGGAUAACACUUGGAAACAGGUGCUAAUACCGCAUAACCAUAGUUACCGCAUGGUAACUAUGUAAAAGGUGGCUAUACUACCGCUUUUGGAUGGGCCCGCGGCGCAUUAGCUAGUUGGUAGGGUAAAGGCUUACCAAGGCAAUGAUGCGUAGCCGAAUUGAGAGGUUGAUCGGCCACAUUGGGACUGAGACAUGGCCCAAACUCCUACGGGAGGCAGCAGUAGGGAAUCUUCCACAAUGGGCGAAAGCCUGAUGGAGCAACGCCGCGUGGGUGAAGAAGGUCUUCGGAUCGUAAAACCCUGUUGUUAGAGAAGAAAGUGCGUGAGAGUAACUGUUCACGUUUCGACGGUAUCUAACCAGAAAGCCACGGCUAACUACGUG
rnacentral:rRNA from 1 species